rnacentral:snoRNA from 1 species
GCAUAGGUUUGGAUUUAUGGCAGGCCCGUCCCCAUGGACCUCUCAUAAUAUCCCAUUUCAGAGCUAACUGUAGCGCCGAACCAUUGCCUGGUCUUGUAGGCCUCAGCACUGAAGGGGGUUGCACAGUG